AAUAGAUACCCCGGUAGUCCAUGCCGUAAACGUUGGGCACUAGGUGUGGGGGACAUUCCACGUUUUCCGCACCGUAGCUAACGCAUUAAGUGCCCCGCCUGGGGAGUACGGCCGCAAGGCUAAAACUCAAAGGAAUUGACGGGGGCCCGCACAAGCGGCGGAGCAUGCGGAUUAAUUCGAUGCAACGCGAAGAACCUUACCAAGGCUUGACAUGGACCGGACCGCCGCAGAAAUGUGGUUUCCCCUUUGGGGCCGGUUUACAGGUGGUGCAUGGUUGUCGUCAGCUCGUGUCGUGAGAUGUUGGGUUAAGUCCCGCAACGAGCGCAACCCUCGUUCUAUGUUGCCAGCGGUUCGGCCGGGGACUCAUAGGGGACUGCCGGGGUCAACUCGGAGGAAGGUGGGGACGACGUCAAAUCAUCAUGCCCCUUAUGUCUUGGGCUUCACGCAUGCUACAAUGGCCGGUACAAAGGGUUGCGAUACUGUGAGGUGGAGCUAAUCCCAAAAGCCGGUCUCAGUUCGGAUUGGGGUCUGCAACUCGACCCCAUGAAGUCGGAGUCGCU
rnacentral:rRNA from 1 species